GAGUAGGUCGGCAACCCACCCGACCCGUCUUGAAACACGGACCAAGGAGUCUUACUUUCGUGCGAGUCCGAGGGCCCGGAAGCCCGACGGCGCAGCGAAAGCGAAGAUCGCGAUCCCUCUUCCGGUGGAGAAGGGGGCGCAGCGACCGCCCUUCCGUGWAGGCGGAAGGAGCGAGAGCACGAAGGUAGGGACCCGAUAGGUGGUGAACUAUUCUCGGGCAGGACGAAGGCCGAGGAAACUCGGCUGGAGGUCCGAAGCGGUUCUGACGUGCAAAUCGAUCGUCCGACCCGAGUAUAGGGGCGAAAGACCAAUCGAACCACC
rnacentral:rRNA from 1 species